rnacentral:rRNA from 1 species
AGUUUGAUCCUGGCUCAGAACGAACGCUGGCGGCAUGCCUAACACAUGCAAGUCGAACGAACCCUUCGGGGUUAGUGGCGCACGGGUGCGUAACACGUGGGAAUCUGCCCUUUGCUUCGGAAUAACAGUUAGAAAUGACUGCUAAUACCGGAUGAUGUCGUAAGACCAAAGAUUUAUCGGCAAAGGAUGAGCCCGCGUAGGAUUAGGUAGUUGGUGGGGUAAAGGCCUACCAAGCCGACGAUCCUUAGCUGGUCUGAGAGGAUGAUCAGCCACACUGGGACUGAGACACGGCCCAGACUCCUACGGGAGGCAGCAGUGGGGAAUAUUGGACAAUGGGCGAAAGCCUGAUCCAGCAAUGCCGCGUGAGUGAUGAAGGCCUUCGGGUUGUAAAGCUCUUUUACCAGGGAUGAUAAUGACAGUACCUGGAGAAUAAGCUCCGGCUAACUCCGUG